GUGUUAAAUUUUUUGUUCUAUAAAAGAGAUCCCACCUGCCAAUUUAGAACCCACCACCCACCGUCAUUUACACUCUCUCGCUGAUGAUUCAUCCGACUUCCAAGUAAAAUUCUUCUAUCCAAGAAAAUUAUGUUCAAGAAGAUGGAUGCAUAGUAUUAAGCAAUGCCUGGGAUGACAAGUGUUUGUACCUUGGAAUUGAUGAUUAUAGUCAUGAAAAUCUUAAGAAUUAUUUGAUAACACAAGCUAUGCUCUCCUCUAGGGUGGAUGGGGACUCGCAUAAAUGGAUUGAUGCUAAAAAUCAAGGUAAAACAGAUGAACUUAUAAGGAAGAAGAAGAG